UACUAUGUCUGGACGUGGUAAGCAGGG
rnacentral:piRNA from 1 species